rnacentral:rRNA from 1 species
CACCCUUUGGGUGUGACUGCGUACCUUUUGUAUAAUGGGUCAGCGACUUAUAUUCUGUAGCAAGGUUAACCGAAUAGGGGAGCCGGAGGGAAACCGAGUCUUAACCGGGCGUUAAGUUGCAGGGUAUAGACCCGAAACCCGGUGAUCUAGCCAUGGGCAGGUUGAAGGUUGGGUAACACUAACUGGAGGACCGAACCGACUAAUGUUGAAAAAUUAGCGGAUGACCUGUGGCUGGGGGUGAAAGGCCAAUCAAACCGGGAGAUAGCUGGUUCUCCCCGAAAGCUAUUUAGGUAGCGCCUCGUGAAUUCAUCUCCGGGGGUAGAGCACUGUUUCGGCUAGGGGGCCAUCCCGGCUUACCAACCCGAUGCAAACUGCGAAUACCGGAGAAUGUUAUCACGGGAGACACACGGCGGGUGCUAACGUCCGUCGUGAAGAGGGAAACAACCCAGACCGCCAGCUAAGGUCCCAAAGUCAUGGUUAAGUGGGAAACGAUGUGGGAAGGCCCAGACAGCCAGGAUGUUGGCUUAGAAGCAGCCAUCAUUUAAAGAAAGCGUAAUAGCUCACUGGUCGAGUCGGCCUGCGCGGAAGAUGUAACGGGGCUAAACCAUGCACCGAAGCUGCGGCAGCGACACUGUGUGUUGUUGGGUAGGGGAGCGUUCUGUAAGCCUGUGAAGGUGUGUCGUGAGGCAUGCUGGAGGUAUCAGAAGUGCGAAUGCUGACAUAAGUAACGAUAAAGCGGGUGAAAAGCCCGCUCGCCGGAAGACCAAGGGUUCCUGUCCAACGUUAAUCGGGGCAGGGUGAGUCGACCCCUAAGGCGAGGCCGAAAGGCGUAGUCGAUGGGAAACGGGUUAAUAUUCCCGUACUUGGUGUUACUGCGAAGGGGGGACGGAGAAGGCUAUGUUGGCCGGG